UACGGAGGGUGCGAGCGUUGUCCGGAAUCACUGGGCGUAAAGGGCGCGUAGGUGGCGACCCAAGUCAACGGUGAAAGCUCGACGCUCAACGUCGAGUCGGCCGUCGAUACUGGGUUGCUCGAGCACUGUAGAGGCUCAUGGAAUUCCGGGUGUAGCGGUGGAAUGCGUAGAGAUCCGGAAGAACACCGGUGGCGAAGGCGGUGAGCUGGGCAGUUGCUGACACUGAGGCGCGACAGCGUGGGGAGCAAACAGG
rnacentral:rRNA from 1 species